GGCCAUGUGGCUAAGUGGUAAAGCUCUUGGCUUCCAAACCAGGGGUCCCGGGUACGAAUCCUGGUGAAGACU
rnacentral:tRNA from 1 species